AGCUCUUGUGGCGAUAGGUCUGCUCUCUUGCUGUUUACGCUUCACAGUCGUGAAUUGUAAGGUGAAGAUGAUAAUGCAUCAGCUGAAGAACCAGUAGUCGGCUUUUACAAAAGGGAUGACAGAAGUGGCAUUGCAAAGAGAAAUAUGAUUGCAGCACAGUUGCAAAUGUAAGAGCAGUACCAGAUGUCCCAUCACCAGCAUAUGGCAACAAAUGCUGAAGCUGAGGGCAUCAGGUGUCACACCUGUGAAGAGCAAUGGAAGAGUAGUGAUUAUAAACUGUAACUGUGUAUUUGGUGGAUAUAGUUAAAUUGUACAUGUGACUUGUCUAUGUGUUUGUAGUUAAAUUGUGAUUGUGAACUGUAUGUGAUUAGAUUAUAAAUUUUAGUUGUAUACUGUAAUAUCCUGCUCUCAUUUGCCAUCCUGAUUUGGGUCUUCCAUGGUUUCCCCAGAUUGUCAGGUGAAUGCCAGGAUGGGCCCCUAAGUCCAUGGCAGCUGUCCCAAUAUCCUUUGUGUGCUUAAUA